UGAAAUCUCUUCCUCUCUCAUCUGAUGGGUGUCGGUUUCAAUAAUUGGUGGAGAAAUAGCAAGUGUUGAUUGAAACUAAAGUGGUAGGGUUUUGAAUAGGUGGAGAAUUGAGAGGUUUGUGAUGAGAAUGAGAGGAUGAAAUUAGGGUUUAGAGAGUACACGAGAAACCAUCCACACACGCUUCCUAGUCCGUUGGUAAAAUGCUACCUUUACAUGUAGAUAGAUAGAUAUGGAGUAAGGACGAAAGCUGGUAAGAAGCAAUCAUCAGAAGAUGCUGUUGUCAAAAAAAUGCACAUUCUGCAGGAGCUUGAAUUCGACGGCACAAUGAACUUGCCUUAAAUAAGGCAACAACACCGGAAGCUUGUAGGCUUUACGUCAUGAUUACUCUAUGAAGGUGAUUAUUAGCACUUGUUUUGUUCUGAAGCAAACAUAUCUCAUGCAUUCACAUUUUGUAAGAAUGUCAUGAUUACCUGGCUAUGCAAGAUGUUUAUGCCUGGAGAUUAGCAUAGCAGCACUCUGGAUUUUGGAAGGUUAUAUCAUUCCCCGUUGAUGCAGUGACAGAUACAUAUGGAACAUUUCUACCUGAUGGAACAGCUUUACAGCUUCAGCAGAUUCUGAGCUUAAGUGUUUUAGAGGAUUCCCGAAUCACCUCUUGCGACACAAGCAGUCCAGGUGGUGACAGCAACGGUGCCGCAUCCCAAAGCCAGUACGCCAAAGGAGAUGUUCUUACCAGAGCCUAGAAAAGACGCAAUAUCUUCAUGCAACUUUAAAUGAACUGUUCCAAUGGUAUGCAAUUGCAAUCUCAGAUAUCGCAAUCUCUCAUACCUUGUCUUAACCGGACCUUUGACUAAUCAAAAUGGUUACUUAGGCUAAAGGUUGUGGUCAUGACCCUCCACAUAGGCGUCAUGUCACCCACCUCUAAUCCACCAUCCAAAACCACUACCCUAAGGGUGUGGUCAUGACCCAAACCAUUAUCCCUCUUUAUUAUUUUAAUAUAUUUUUGUCUCAGAGUUAUCAAAUAGAGGGUGUCUCUCAUGGAGCAUAGACCGAACAAGUUACUAUAGGACUGGUUUAGUCACCAUUCGAACUGGUCUCUUUUGAUUUAAGUGCAUUUAACCGGCCGUCUCUGUUGGUUUUUACACACUAUUUUUCACCCUCUUAUAUAGUCAUAUAUAGUCAAAUUACCAAAUUACACUUUGUUUGGAGUAACAACCACUUUUUACUUUUAUAAACUCAAAAGUUCCUAUGUAAGUUCUAACAACAAAGUCGAUUAACCCAACUUAAGUAACAAUUAUCCCUACUGUAUUAUCAUAAGAUGAUAUAUCAU
rnacentral:lncRNA from 1 species